AGUGGAUGGGGAGCAACCUAGUUGUGCGUGUGUAAAGGUAGUGCCAAGAAAAGCGGUGAUCAUGAUGAAAAUCAAUUCCCGGUACCCGAAACCGACACAGGUGGGCAAGUAGAGAAUACUAAGGGGCGCGAGGUAACUCUCUCCAAGGAACUCGGCAAAAUGACCCCGUAACUUAGGGAGAAGGGGUGCCACCGAGAGGUGGUCGCAGUGAAGAGGCCCAGGCGACUGUUUAGCAAAAACAUAGGUCUCUGCAAACUCGAAAGAGGAGGUAUAGGGGCUGACGCCUGCCCAGUGCCGGAAGGUUAAAGAAGUUGGUCAGUCUUAGGAUGAAGCUAGCGACUGAAGCCCCGGUGAACGGCGGCCGUAACUAUAACGGUCCUAAGGUAGCGAAAUUCCUUGUCGGGUAAGUUCCGACCCGCACGAAAGGCGUAACGAUCUGGGCGCUGUCUCGGAGAGAGGCUCGGCGAAAUAGGAUUGUCUGUGAAGAUACGGACUACCUGCAUUUGGACAGAAAGACCCUAUGAAGCUUUACUAUAGCUUGGAAUUGUGUUCGGGCUUCCUGUGCGCAGGAUAGGUGGGAGGCGUAGAAGGUAUUCUUGUGGGGAUACUGGAGCCAACGGUGAGAUACCACUCUCAGGAGGCUAGAAUUCUAACUUAAUUAAGGACAGUUUCAGGUGGGUAGUUUGACUGGGGCGGUCGCCUCCAAAAAGGUAACGGAGGCGUACAAAGGUUCCCUCAGACUGGUUGGAAAUCAGUCGAAGAGUGCAAAGGCAGAAGGGAGCUUGACUGCGAGAAGUACAGUUCGAGCAGGGUGGAAACACGGUCUUAGUGAUCCGACGGUGCUGUGUGGAAGGGCCGUCGCCCAACGGAUAAAAGUUACUCUAGGAUAACAGGCUGAUCUCCCCCAAGAGUUCACAUCGACGGGGAGGUUUGGCACCUCGAUGUCGGCUCAUCGCAACCUGGGGCGGAAGUACGUCCCAAGGGUUGGGCUGUUCGCCCAUUAAAGCGGUACGUGAGCUGGGUUCAGAACGUCCUGAGACAGUUCGGUCCAUAUCCGAUGUAGGCGUGAGAAUAUUGAGAGGAGCCUUCCUUAGUACGAGAGGACCGGGAAGGACGCACCGCUGGUGUACCUGUUAUGAUGCCAAUUGUAAACGCAGGGUAGCCAAGUGCGGAGAGGAUAACCGCUGAAAGCAUCUAAGUGGGAAGCCCACCUCAAGAUGAGUAUUCUGGUGUAAGGUCACGGGAAGACGACCCGUAAAUAGGCACGAGGUGGAAGUGCAGAGAUGUAUGAAGCCGAAGUGUACUAAUAGACCGUCGGCUUGAC
rnacentral:rRNA from 1 species